rnacentral:rRNA from 1 species
GACGAACGCUGGCGGCGUGCCUAAUACAUGCAAGUAGAACGCACAGUUUAUACCGUAGCUUGCUACACCAUAGACUGUGAGUUGCGAACGGGUGAGUAACGCGUAGGUAACCUGCCUGGUAGCGGGGGAUAACUAUUGGAAACGAUAGCUAAUACCGCAUAAUAUUAAUUAUUGCAUGAUAAUUAAUUGAAAGGUGCAAUUGCACAACAACAAAAUGGACUUGCGUUGUAUUAGCUAGUAGGUGAGGUAACGGCUCACCUAGGCGACGAUACAUAGCCGACCUGAGAGGGUGAUCGGCCACACUGGGACUGAGACACGGCCCAGACUCCUACGGGAGGCAGCAGUAGGGAAUCUUCGGCAAUGGACGAAAGUCUGACCGAGCAACGCCGCGUGAGUGAAGAAGGUUUUCGGAUCGUAAAGCUCUGUUGUAAGAGAAGAACGGGUGUGAGAGUGGAAAGUUCACACUGUGACGGUAUCUUACCAGAAAGGGACGGCUAACUACGUG